UACGUAGGGCGCGAGCGUUGUCCGGAAUCAUUGGGCGUAAAGAGCUCGUAGGCGGCCUGUCGCGUCUGCUGUGAAAACUCGGGGCUUAACCCCGAGCCUGCAGUGGAUACGGGCAGACUAGAGGUAGGUAGGGGAGAAUGGAAUUCCCGGUGUAGCGGUGAAAUGCGCAGAUAUCGGGAGGAACACCGGUGGCGAAGGCGGUUCCCUGGGCCUUACCUGACGCUGAGGAGCGAAAGCGUGGGGAGCGAACAGG
rnacentral:rRNA from 1 species